AUGCUCUUUCUGAACACAACUUCAUGCAGCACACCUUCUCACACAAGGAAAAAAAAUGAUGGGAAUUUAACCAUGAGGUUUUGGCAUAUGUCUUUUGAAAGGAACACAAUUAGUACCCCAAUACUCAAUGUUAUAAACUACUAUGCUAUUAGAAAGGGUAAUUUCAAUACCUAUAGGGUUCUUAUAAAAAGGAUGGAAGAGGACUCUUUAUUCAGCCUGAAGGAUCCCAGUGCACUUAUGAAUACUUCAAUUCAUUACUGGAACGAAUUCUUUUCCCAAUAAAUCAGGAGGAGGUCUCAUUCUGCAAGAGGAGGAAGACUAGGAUACUUCUUGAAGUACACCAACCCAGGAGAGGAGAGGGGAGGAGAAGAGAGCCUUCCUGCUGCAGGAAGGAAGAAGGUUAAAGAUGCCAAAGCAGCACACUGGAACAAGUCUUGAUGUCUCAAGUGCAGAGUCUCAUACAUUCUGUGUGUCUUAAUCAGACUGUGCCAGGAACAUAUUGCCUUAUAAAAUAUCAUAGUUUCUGUGACAUGUAGGUUCAGUAUUCUAAGACUGUAUUUUUGAGAAUUAAAUCAAUAAGACUCUUAGGUGAGACAAACUUGUGUAUUUACCUUGAUUAUCACAAAAAGAGUUUUCUGUCCUUCUUGUCAUAUAGAAAAUACUUGAGUCUUGUGGAAUUUCCAAGGAUAAAAUACAGAUCAUUCCAGAAUGAGCAGAAACUGCUGAAAACAUCAGUUUUGAAAACAUUGUUCUCCUUUUAAAACAUUUAGAAACAAUUAAAAUGAUUAAUAGGUUUUAAAAAUAAAUUUCCUAUGGCUUUCA
rnacentral:lncRNA from 1 species